rnacentral:rRNA from 1 species
UACGUAGGGUGCGAGCGUUGUCCGGAAUUACUGGGCGUAAAGAGCUCGUAGGUGGUUUGUCGCGUUGUUCGUGAAAUCUCACCGCUUAACGGUGAAACUGCAUUCGAUACUGCUCGACUAGAGGAUCGGAGGGGAAAGCAGAAUUCUUGGUGUAGCGGUGAAAUGCGUAGAUAUCAAGAGGAAUACCAACAGCGUAGGCAGCUUUCUGGAAGAUACCUGACUCUGAGGCACGAAGGCCAGGGGAGCAAACGGG